AUUGAACGCUGGCGGCAGGCCUAACACAUGCAAGUCGAGCGGGGUUUUCGGACCUAGCGGCGGACGGGUGAGUAAUGCGUAGGAAGCUGCCCGAUAGAGGGGGAUACCAGUUGGAAACGACUGUUAAUACCGCAUAAUGUCUACGGACCAAAGUGUGGGACCUUCGGGCCACAUGCUAUCGGAUGCGCCGACGUGGGAUUAGCUAGUUGGUGAGGUAAUGGCUCACCAAGGCGACGAUCUCUAGCUGGUUUGAGAGGGUGAUCAGCCACACUGGAACUGAGACACGGUCCAGACUCCUACGGGAGGCAGCAGUGGGGAAUAUUGGACAAUGGGCGCAAGCCUGAUCCAGCCAUGCCGCGUGUGUGAAGAAGGCCUUCGGGUUGUAAAGCACUUUCAGCGAGGAGGAAGGGUGGUGUGUUAAUAGCACAUCAUUUUGACGUUACUCGCAGAAGAAGCACCGGCUAACUCUGUGCCAGCCGCCGCGGUAACAC
rnacentral:rRNA from 1 species